CCCUUAGAUGUUCUGGGCCGCACGCGCGCUACACUGACUGGUGCAACAAGUGUCGCUCCUUGGCCGAUAGGCCUGGGCAAUCUUUGAACGCCAGUCGUGAUGGGGAUAGAUUCUUGCAAUUUUUGAUCUUCAACGAGGAAUUCCUAGUAAACGCGAGUCAUCAACUCGCAUUGAUUACGUCCCUGCCCUUUGUACACACCGCCCGUCGCACCUACCGAUUGAAUGGUCCGGUGAACCCUCCGGAUCGGCCCGCGCCAACGCAAGUUGAGCAAAGGCCGAGAAGUUGGGUAAACCUUACCAUUUAGAGGAAGGAGAAGUCGUAACA
rnacentral:rRNA from 1 species